rnacentral:lncRNA from 1 species
CAAGGAAUCCAGGGCUACUCGGGAUUAAGUGACUUGCCCAAGGCCAUGAGGUCACAGUGAUGCAGUCCAGCACUCUUCCUAUGGCACCCCAGUGUCUCUCAAUAUGGCUGUGCUGUCCGCACAGACGGGCUGAUCCCACCACCCUCCCCAGUUUCUAUCCCUGCUUCUAAAACCUGCAACUUGUCCUGUAAGCCAUCUUAGCACCUGCCUCUGGCUUCUAAGCAAACUUCAGGGCUAGGCUGUCCAUCCCAUCAUAGAUCCUUCUGUCAGUUAAAUCCUAAGUCAUUAAACAAGCAUUUUCCCCUGAGCCUAUAUGUGGUUAUAGCAACUUAAGUAAAAAAUACAUUUGUUCAUGGUGGAAAAGUGGUAUAACCAUAAGACAUAUGUAAUUUGUUGGGAAACAGCCUCUCUAUUCUUACUUUCAAAUGUCACAGUGAAUACUUGAAACUAAACUAUGCCGCUGGAAAGCUGGAGUUAAGAAUUUACUUGGAAACCUUAAACAUGGGUAAUUUUGGUUAGUAGCCAUUCUGUGACUUUGCUUAGACAUGACAGGUUAAGGGCUGUAGGGCCCAAGGCAGAGUUGACAGACACAAGCCCUCUCUCACCUCCUCAUCUGCAUAGGAAGGAUAAAUCCCUGUCCUGUAGGCUCCCAAUGGUCCUGCCCACAGGGUAAUUGCAGAGAAGAUAUUCUCUGAUGAGAUCAACCCAUGCAAGGCAGAACUACCAAUAUCUGUACUGCCAGAGAGACUCCCCUUAUUCCACAGUGAAUCUGAGCAGUACUAGACUCUCUCUUUACCUCUGACCAAAUACAGAUUGCAGUUCAAUUUGGAUCUGGAAAAACUGGUGGUGUAGUGGAAAGAACAAGUCUGUGGAGAUCCUGAGUUUCAACCCUGGUUAAUAAAUUCUACUAAACAUAUUUGGUUAGUGAUCUCGGGCAAAUUACUUAACUUCUUUGGGUCUCAGUCUCCACAUUAAUGCUGCUGCAGCGAGGGGCGAUGAUUCUGAAGCUUCAUAUCUUCAGAACGGUAGAUGCUAAGCACUGAAUGGUGCCUUUCAUGAACAUGGCUUUACCUUGGCUUCAAAACAACCCUAUGAGUCCCCAGGUGUGGUUUCGAGAAGAGGCUUCAGGAAGGGAAAGCUGACCAGGGAGAUGGUUUCUGAAAGGAUGUGUCUUUCUGGACCAGAGGAAACAAGCCACAAGCUGGGUGGAAGACAAGCCAUACGCCUGCUGUAGAAAUAUUCCUGCUCCAUGUUUCCUUUUUGCCCUCUGGACUGAGUCCUUUUGACGAAAGAACACUCAGAACCUGCUGAGCUUUGGGCUGGCACUGGGAUUCACUCACUCUCAGGUGAGCAAGGGAAAUCACCUGUGGGAUUCCCAUAUGUAAAACACACCUCAAAUUGGAGCCACCUGCGUGAAGGAGGUUUCAUGAACACCGAAAACACCAGCCUUUGGCUUUUCCUCAGUGAGAGCCCACAGCGCCUCCUUGUGGACUAUCUGAUAAACUGGAACCAGUUCUCGCAGGGCUGAAGGACGGUGGUCACCUAGAGGCAUUGCCCAGGAUCUGCACUGCGCUGUCCACCCAGGAAUUACUCUGUUUUCUUCUACUUUUAAAUAAAUUUGGGAGAUGGGCUGGGUGUGGUGGCUCACACCUGUAAUUUCAGCGUUUUGGAAGACCGAGGCGGGAGGACGGCGUGGGACCAGGAGUUCAUGACUGGCCUGGGCAACACAGUGAGACCCUGUCUCUAUUUUAAACAACGACAACAACAUAUUUAAAAAAUAAAAAUAAGAAAAUAAAUUUGGAAGAUGAACACAUUCUAUUUUAAUUCUGUUAGUGAUCAGUAAAACUGGCUUAAAAGCUGAGUUUCCUUUGGUUCCCUUUUGUUUUAUAAAAAAUGUCUGUGUGUACCUUUGUCAACAGCCUGAAUCCUAUGAAUCACAGGUUCCCCUGGGGAAGAUGGGGGUUUGAGUUUGGUUUCUUACUUGUGUUUAUAGGGUUCUGGGCAACUUGGGAGGGCGAGACACUAUGCCCUCAUGGGAUAACACUAAUU